CCUACGGGAGGCUGCAGUGGGGAAUAUUGGACAAUGGGGGGAACCCUGAUCCAGCCAUGCCGCGUGUGUGAAGAAGGCCCUCGGGUUGUAAAGCACUUUCAGUGAGGAAGAACGCCUGGUGGUUAAUACCCAUCAGGAAAGACAUCACUCACAGAAGAAGCACCGGCUAACUCCGUGCCAGCAGCCGCGGUAAUACGGAGGGUGCGAGCGUUAAUCGGAAUUACUGGGCGUAAAGCGCGCGUAGGUGGCUUGAUAAGCCGGUUGUGAAAGCCCCGGGCUCAACCUGGGAACGGCAUCCGGAACUGUCAAGCUAGAGUGCAGGAGAGGAAGGUAGAAUUCCCGGUGUAGCGGUGAAAUGCGUAGAGAUCGGGAGGAAUACCAGUGGCGAAGGCGGCCUUCUGGACUGACUCUGACACUGAGGUGCGAAAGCGUGGGUAGCAAACAGGAUUAGAACCCCGGUAGUC
rnacentral:rRNA from 1 species